rnacentral:rRNA from 1 species
UUCCAGACUCCUACGGGAGGCAGCAGUGGGGAAUAUUGCACAAUGGGGGAAACCCUGAUGCAGCGACGCCGCGUGAGUGAAGAAGUAUUUCGGUAUGUAAAGCUCUAUCAGCAGGGAAGAUAAUGACGGUACCUGACUAAGAAGCCCCGGCUAACUACGUGCCAGCAGCCGCGGUAAUACGUAGGGGGCAAGCGUUAUCCGGAUUUACUGGGUGUAAAGGGUGCGUAGGUGGCAUGGCAAGUCAGAAGUGAAAGCCCGGGGCUCAGCCCCGCGGACUGCUUUUGAAACUGUCAGGCUGGAGUACAGGAGAGGUAAGCGGAAUUCCUAGUGUAGCGGUGAAAUGCGUAGAUAUUAGGAGGAACACCAGUGGCGAAGGCGGCUUACUGGACUGUAACUGACACUGAGGCACGAAAGCGUGGGGAGCAAACAGGAUUAGAUACCCCAGUAAU